UACGUAGGCAGCAAGCGUUGUUCGGAGUUACUGGGCGUAAAGGGCGCGCAGGCGGUUCUGUUUGUCGAGUGUGAAAGCCCCGGGCUCAACCUGGGAACUGCGCUCGAAACGGCGGAACUAGAGUUCGGGAGAGGAGAGUGGAAUUCCCAGUGUAGAGGUGAAAUUCGUAGAUAUUGGGAAGAACACCGGUGGCGAAGGCGGCUCUCUGGACCGAUACUGACGCUGAGGCGCGAAAGCGUGGGGAGCAAACAGGG
rnacentral:rRNA from 1 species